CCUACGAGAGGCAGCAGUGAGGAAUAUUGGUCAAUGGACGAGAGUCUGAACCAGCCAAGUAGCGUGAAGGAUGACUGCCCUAUGGGUUGUAAACUUCUUUUAUAUGGGAAUAAAACAGGGUAUGCAUACCCUCUUGUAUGUACCAUAUGAAUAAGGAUCGGCUAACUCCGUGCCAGCAGCCGCGGUAAUACGGAGGAUCCGAGCGUUAUCCGGAUUUAUUGGGUUUAAAGGGAGCGUAGGUGGAUUGUUAAGUGAGUUGUGAAAGGUUGCGGCUCAACCGUAAAAUUGCAGUUGAAACUGGCAGUCUUGAGUACAGUAGAGGUAGGCGGAAUUCGUGGUGUAGCGGUGAAAUGCUUAGAUAUCACGAAGAACUCCGAUUGCGAAGGCAGCUCACUGGACUGCAACUGACACUGAUGCUCGAAAGUGUGGGUAUCAAACAGGAUUAGAUACCCCGGUAGUC
rnacentral:rRNA from 1 species